rnacentral:rRNA from 1 species
GAUGAACGCUGGCGGCGUGCUUAACACAUGCAAGUCGAACGAAGCACUUUUACAGAUUUCUUCGGAAUGAAGUUUUAGUGACUGAGUGGCGGACGGGUGAGUAACGCGUGGGUAACCUGCCUCACACAGGGGGGAUAACAGUUGGAAACGGCUGCUAAUACCGCAUAAGCGCACAGUACCGCAUGGUACAGUGUGAAAAACUCCGGUGGUGUGAGAUGGACCCGCGUCUGAUUAGCUAGUUGGCAGGGCAACGGCCUACCAAGGCGACGAUCAGUAGCCGACUGAGAGGGUGACCGGCCACAUUGGGACUGAGACAGGCCC